rnacentral:rRNA from 1 species
CCUACGGGAGGCAGCAGUGAGGAAUAUUGGUCAAUGGGCGCUAGCCUGAACCAGCCAAGUAGCGUGAAGGAUGACUGCCCUAUGGGUUGUAAACUUCUUUUAUAUGGGAAUAAAGUGCAGUAUGUGUACUUCUUUGCAUGUACCUUAUGAAUAAGGAUCGGCUAACUCCGUGCCAGCAGCCGCGGUAAUACGGAGGAUCCGAGCGUUAUCCGGAUUUAUUGGGUUUAAAGGGUGCGUAGGUGGGUUGUUAAGUCAGUGGUGAAAGUUUGAGGCUCAACCGUAAAAUUGCAGUUGAUACUGGCAGCCUUGAGUGUAGUAGAGGUAGGCGGAAUGCGUGGUGUAGCGGUGAAAUGCUUAGAUAUCACGAAGAACUCCGAUUGCGAAGGCAGCCUGCUGGACUGUAACUGACGCUGAUGCGCGAAAGUGUGGGUAUCAAACAGGAUUAGAUACCCUAGUAGUC